AACUAUCGUGUUACUACUUGAUGUGUAACCAGGCAGCCGCUCCAGCGAGCAACCCGCUAACAGUUCAGGUACGCCCAGCCCAGAUGCGGCCACCAGACAACCACAUUACGCUAGCUCCCGAGGGGAGAAGAACCCAGACUCCCUGCAGGAGGCCAGUACACAAGGAUAAGGGGUCGGUACAAAACACAUGGGAUACGGGCGAGCAACACAACACACGCACCGCAAAACUAAAACUAAGUUACCCACCAGACGCGGGAUCAACCACACACGUAGUGAUACUACGCCCAGCACUCCAGCCUACACUUGUGACUCCGAGAGAGGUAGCAAAC